AGCGAACGCUGGCGGCAGGCCUAACACAUGCAAGUCGAACGAACCCUUCGGGGUUAGUGGCGGACGGGUGAGUAACACGUGGGAACGUGCCUUUAGGUUCGGAAUAACUCAGGGAAACUUGUGCUAAUACCGAAUGUGCCCUUCGGGGGAAAGAUUUAUCGCCUUUAGAGCGGCCCGCGUCUGAUUAGCUAGUUGGUGAGGUAAAGGCUCACCAAGGCUACGAUCAGUAGCCGGUCUGAGAGGAUGACCAGCCACAUUGGGACUGAGACACGGCCCAAACUCCUACGGGAGGCAGCAGUGGGGAAUCUUGCGCAAUGGGCGAAAGCCUGACGCAGCCAUGCCGUGUGGAUGAUGAAGGUCUUAGGAUUGUAAAAUCCUUUCACCGGUGAAGAUAAUGACUGUAGCCGGAGAAGAAGCCCCGGCUAACUUCGUGCCAGCAGCCGCAGUAAGAC
rnacentral:rRNA from 1 species